rnacentral:rRNA from 1 species
UACAGAGGGUGCUAGCGUUGUUCGGAAUCAUUGGGCGUAAAGGGCGUGUAGGCGGUUUGCUAAGUCAUGUGUGAAAUCCCUCGGCUCAACCGGGGAACGACGCAUGAAAACUGGCAGCUAGAGUACCAAAGAGGGGGGUGGAAUUCCCGGUGUAGCGGUGAAAUGCGUAGAUAUCGGGGAGGAACACCUGUGGCGAAGGCGGCCCCCUGGUUGGAUACUGACGCUGAGACGCGAAAAGCGUGGGGGAGCAAACAGGGAUU